CUGUCUGGUGUACUCGUAAUAUCUGGACUGGUUUAAUGGCUUGUUUCAUGGGAGAAGCGCUAAACUUUACCUCAACAUUUAUGUAAAAUUAAAGCUGCACAGAUUCUAAGUCUUGGAAGUUUAUUUCAAAGAAAAGACAAUGCCUGUGCCACAUAUUUGACUUGGCUUCCAAUUUUUGUCUUUUGAGAUGGUUGCUCUUGGAAAACAGAAAUACGCUUCAAGAUGUCAAGCCUCCUCUGCUGAUGCCGUAUGGAGAACAGACAAGCUUUCCCAUCAAGCCCUAACCAAACUGCACAACUGUGAAUAAAAUCAAUAAUUGUUAUGAAAAGGC
rnacentral:lncRNA from 1 species